AAGUCGUAACAAGGUCUCCGUAGGUGAACCUGCGGAGGGAUCAUUACUGAGUGAGGGCCCUCCGGCCCGACCUCCAACCCAUGUAUUCCGACUCUGUUGCCUCGGGGGCGACCCUGCCUUCGGGCGUUGGGGCCCCGCUGGAGCACCACCAACUACUGCAUCUUUGCGUCUGAGUAACACUUUGAAUUAAAUCAAAA
rnacentral:misc_RNA from 1 species